rnacentral:rRNA from 1 species
CAAGUCGAACGAAGCAUUCCUUGACGGAUCCCUUCGGGGUGAAGGAAGGAAAGACUUAGUGGCGGACGGGUGAGUAACGCGUGGGUAACCUGCCCUUUACCGGGGGACAACAGCUGGAAACGGCUGCUAAUACCGCAUAAGCGCACAGCAUCGCAUGAUGCAGUGUGAAAAACUCCGGUGGUAAAGGAUGGACCCGCGUCUGAUUAGCCAGUUGGCGGGGUAACGGCCCACCAAAGCGACGAUCAGUAGCCGGCCUGAGAGGGUGAACGGCCACAUUGGGACUGAGACACGGCCCAAACUCCUACGGGAGGCAGCAGUGGGGAAUAUUGCACAAUGGGCGAAAGCCUGAUGCAGCGACGCCGCGUGAGUGAAGAAGUAUUUCGGUAUGUAAAGCUCUAUCAGCAGGGAAGAAAAUGACGGUACCUGAGUAAGAAGCCCCGGCUAACUACGUGCCAGCAGCCGCGGUAAUACGUAGGGGGCAAGCGUUAUCCGGAUUUACUGGGUGUAAAGGGAGCGUAGACGGCGAGACAAGUCUGAAGUGAAAGCCCGCGGCUUAACCGCGGGACUGCUUUGGAAACUGCCUUGCUAGAGUGCAGGAGGGGCGAGUGGAAUUCCUAGUGUAGCGGUGAAAUGCGUAGAUAUAUGGAAGAACACCAGUGGCGAAGGCGGUUUACUAGCUCGAUACUGACGCUCAGUCACGAAAGCGUGGGUAGCAAAUAGGAUUAGAUACCCUAGUAGUCCACGCUGUAAACGAUGAGAACUAAAUAUUGCCGUAAGGCAGUGUUGAAGCUAACGCAUUAAGUUCUCCGCCUGGGGAGUACGCUCGCAAGAGUGAAACUUAAAGGAAUUGACGGGGACCCGCACAAGCAGUGGAGCAUGUGGUUUAAUUCGACGCUACGCGAAGAACCUUACCAGGGCUUGACAUGGAGGUAAAGGCUCUAGAGAUAGAGAGAUAGUGUAUACCUCACACAGGUGGUGCAUGGUUGUCGUCAGCUCGUGUCGUGAGAUGUUGGGUUAAGUCCCGCAACGAGCGCAACCCUCGUCCUUAGUUGCCAUCAUUCAGUUGGGAACUCUAGGGAUACUGCCGAUGUAAGUCGGAGGAAGGUGGGGAUGACGUCAAAUCAUCAUGCCCUUUAUGUCCUGGGCGACACACGUGCUACAAUGGCCGGUACAAAGAGACGCAAUACCGCGAGGUGGAGCAAAUCUCAUAAAGCCGGUCUCAGUUCGGAUUGGAGUCUGCAACUCGACUCCAUGAAGCUGGAAUUGCUAGUAAUCGCGAAUCAGCCAUGUCGCGGUGAAUACGUUCCCGGGUCUUGUACACACCGCCCGUCAAACCAUGAGAGCUGGUAAUACUCGAAG